AUAUUCAAAACUUUGUUGUUCUGUUUCAGUGAAGGCUGCUGAACUCUCAGGCUUCUGAUAUCUUCAGUGGAGACUCACAAGACUGUUUGACAGAAAACAUAUUUCUCAGCUCUUGGUUAGUCAUCGAUUAGUUACACAACAAAUUCAAGACCAGAAGACAAAAAGGGAGCUGAGGUAGUAAUUCUUCGGAAGAAUUAAAACACCAAUGUCUUUGAGUUGCUGACCCCAGCGUGCCAGCUCUGCAGGGAGUACUCUUGUGGAACACAGG
rnacentral:lncRNA from 1 species